UUGAAGACCGUGAUCAUCUCGCGAGGAUGUCCUCAACUGGGCGGCACCGCACUUCAUCAUGAAAGAGGUUAGAUGCUACGGAAAAGGGGACACGGUCAUGAUGUCCGUAUCCACUCUUUCUCGUAGAAUCGAACCUCCUUCUUGACAUACGUUGCUGCUCGGCGGAGAACAUCCUCGCAGAAAUGAACACGGUAUGCAAGUUCAACAAGUGUGGAUUUGAAAAACCAUAUUGAAUUUGAUAAGAUAAACCGUCUAGACAAGGUAGCAUCAUUUUUAAACCACUGCAAUAAUGCAUACUAUAUAUGACACAUCAAUCUCCC
rnacentral:lncRNA from 1 species